rnacentral:rRNA from 1 species
GGGUUGUGAGGUUAAGCGACUAAGCGUACACGGUGGAUGCCCUGGCAGUCAGAGGCGAUGAAGGACGUGCUAAUCUGCGAUAAGCGUCGGUAAGGUGAUAUGAACCGUUAUAACCGGCGAUUUCCGAAUGGGGAAACCCAGUGUGAUUCGUCACACUAUCAUUAACUGAAUCCAUAGGUUAAUGAGGCGAACCGGGGGAACUGAAACAUCUAAGUACCCCGAGGAAAAGAAAUCAACCGAGAUUCCCCCAGUAGCGGCGAGCGAACGGGGAGCAGCCCAGAGCCUGAAUCAGUGUGUGUGUUAGUGGAAGCGUCUGGAAAGGCGCGCGAUACAGGGUGACAGCCCCGUACACAAAAAUGCACAUACUGUGAGCUCGAUGAGUAGGGCGGGACACGUGGUAUCCUGUCUGAAUAUGGGGGGACCAUCCUCCAAGGCUAAAUACUCCUGACUGACCGAUAGUGAACCAGUACCGUGAGGGAAAGGCGAAAAGAACCCCGGCGAGGGGAGUGAAAAAGAACCUGAAACCGUGUACGUACAAGCAGUGGGAGCACGCUUAGGCGUGUGACUGCGUACCUUUUGUAUAAUGGGUCAGCGACUUAUAUUCUGUAGCAAGGUUAACCGAAUAGGGGAGCCGAAGGGAAACCGAGUCUUAACUGGGCGUUAAGUUGCAGGGUAUAGACCCGAAACCCGGUGAUCUAGCCAUGGGCAGGUUGAAGGUUGGGUAACACUAACUGGAGGACCGAACCGACUAAUGUUGAAAAAUUAGCGGAUGACUUGUGGCUGGGGGUGAAAGGCCAAUCAAACCGGGAGAUAGCUGGUUCUCCCCGAAAGCUAUUUAGGUAGCGCCUCGUGAACUCAUCUCCGGGGGUAGAGCACUGUUUCGGCAAGGGGGUCAUCCCGACUUACCAACCCGAUGCAAACUGCGAAUACCGGAGAAUGUUAUCACGGGAGACACACGGCGGGUGCUAACGUCCGUCGUGAAGAGGGAAACAACCCAGACCGCCAGCUAAGGUCCCAAAGUCAUGGUUAAGUGGGAAACGAUGUGGGAAGGCCCAGACAGCCAGGAUGUUGGCUUAGAAGCAGCCAUCAUUUAAAGAAAGCGUAAUAGCUCACUGGUCGAGUCGGCCUGCGCGGAAGAUGUAACGGGGCUAAACCAUGCACCGAAGCUGCGGCAGCGACGCUUAUGCGUUGUUGGGUAGGGGAGCGUUCUGUAAGCCUGUGAAGGUGUGCUGUGAGGCAUGCUGGAGGUAUCAGAAGUGCGAAUGCUGACAUAAGUAACGAUAAAGCGGGUGAAAAGCCCGCUCGCCGGAAGACCAAGGGUUCCUGUCCAACGUUAAUCGGGGCAGGGUGAGUCGACCCCUAAGGCGAGGCCGAAAGGCGUAGUCGAUGGGAAACAGGUUAAUAUUCCUGUACUUGGUGUUACUGCGAAGGGGGGACGGAGAAGGCUAUGUUGGCCGGGCGACGGUUGUCCCGGUUUAAGCGUGUAGGCUGGUUUUCCAGGCAAAUCCGGAAAAUCAAGGCUGAGGCGUGAUGACGAGGCACUACGGUGCUGAAGCAACAAAUGCCCUGCUUCCAGGAAAAGCCUCUAAGCAUCAGGUAACAUCAAAUCGUACCCCAAACCGACACAGGUGGUCAGGUAGAGAAUACCAAGGCGCUUGAGAGAACUCGGGUGAAGGAACUAGGCAAAAUGGUGCCGUAACUUCGGGAGAAGGCACGCUGAUAUGUAGGUGAAGCGACUUGCUCGUGGAGCUGAAAUCAGUCGAAGAUACCAGCUGGCUGCAACUGUUUAUUAAAAACACAGCACUGUGCAAACACGAAAGUGGACGUAUACGGUGUGACGCCUGCCCGGUGCCGGAAGGUUAAUUGAUGGGGUCAGCGCAAGCGAAGCUCUUGAUCGAAGCCCCGGUAAACGGCGGCCGUAACUAUAACGGUCCUAAGGUAGCGAAAUUCCUUGUCGGGUAAGUUCCGACCUGCACGAAUGGCGUAAUGAUGGCCAGGCUGUCUCCACCCGAGACUCAGUGAAAUUGAACUCGCUGUGAAGAUGCAGUGUACCCGCGGCAAGACGGAAAGACCCCGUGAACCUUUACUAUAGCUUGACACUGAACAUUGAGCCUUGAUGUGUAGGAUAGGUGGGAGGCUUUGAAGUGUGGACGCCAGUCUGCAUGGAGCCGACCUUGAAAUACCACCCUUUAAUGUUUGAUGUUCUAACGUGGACCCGUAAUCCGGGUUGCGGACAGUGUCUGGUGGGUAGUUUGACUGGGGCGGUCUCCUCCUAAAGAGUAACGGAGGAGCACGAAGGUUGGCUAAUCCUGGUCGGACAUCAGGAGGUUAGUGCAAUGGCAUAAGCCAGCUUGACUGCGAGCGUGACGGCGCGAGCAGGUGCGAAAGCAGGUCAUAGUGAUCCGGUGGUUCUGAAUGGAAGGGCCAUCGCUCAACGGAUAAAAGGUACUCCGGGGAUAACAGGCUGAUACCGCCCAAGAGUUCAUAUCGACGGCGGUGUUUGGCACCUCGAUGUCGGCUCAUCACAUCCUGGGGCUGAAGUAGGUCCCAAGGGUAUGGCUGUUCGCCAUUUAAAGUGGUACGCGAGCUGGGUUUAGAACGUCGUGAGACAGUUCGGUCCCUAUCUGCCGUGGGCGCUGGAGAACUGAGGGGGGCUGCUCCUAGUACGAGAGGACCGGAGUGGACGCAUCACUGGUGUUCGGGUUGUCAUGCCAAUGGCACUGCCCGGUAGCUAAAUGCGGAAGAGAUAAGUGCUGAAAGCAUCUAAGCACGAAACUUGCCCCGAGAUGAGUUCUCCCUGACCCUUUAAGGGUCCUGAAGGAACGUUGAAGACGACGACGUUGAUAGGCCGGGUGUGUAAGCGCAGCGAUGCGUUGAGCUAACCGGUACUAAUGAACCGUGAGGCUUAACCUUACAACGCCGAAGCUGUU